GACGAACGCUGGCGGCGCGCUUAACACAUGCAAGUCGAACGGAAAGGCCUGCUUUCCCUUGUGGAUUGCGGGUACUCGAGUGGCGAACGGGUGAGUAACACGUGAGUGAUCUGCCCCCAACUUGGGUAUAAGCCUGGGAAACUGGGUCUAAUUCCCGAUAGGACUGCAGGGUGGUGCCUGUGGUGGAAAACGAUUUUCUAGUGGUUGGGGAUGAGCUCGCGGCCUAUCAGCUUGUUGGUGGGGUAAUGGCCUACCAAGGCGGCGACGGGUAGCCGGCCUGAGAGGGUGGACGGCCACAUUGGGACUGAGAUACGGCCCAGACUCCUACGGGAGGCAGCAGUGGGGAAUAUUGCACAACGGGCGGAAGCCUGAUGCAGCGACGCCGCGUGGGGGAUGACGGCCUUCGGGUUGUAAACUCCUUUCGACUGCGAGGAAGCCACCUGGUUGGAAGGGUGGUGACGGUAGUGGUAGAAGAAGCACCGGCUAACUACGUG
rnacentral:rRNA from 1 species